rnacentral:rRNA from 1 species
GAUGAACGCUGGCGGCGUGCCUAAUACAUGCAAGUCGAGCGAACGGACGAUAAUCUUGCUUCUCUGAUGUUAGCGGCGGACGGGUGAGUAACACGUGGAUAACCUUCCUCUUAGACUUGGAUAACUUCGGGAAACCGGAGCUAAUACCGGAUAAUAUUUUUAACCUCAUGGUUCAAAAGUUAAUGCCGGUCUUGCUGUCCCUUCUCGAUGUCUCCUCGGUGCAUUAGCUAGUUGGUAAGGUAACGGCUUACCAAGGCAACGAUGCAUAGCCGACCUGAGAGGGGGAAGGGGGAAAGUGGAAGUGAGACACGGAACAGAGAACGAGGGGAGGCAGCAGAAGGGAAGGGGCGGCAAAGGGCGAAAGACUGACGGAGAAACGCAGGGUGAGUGAAGAAGGGCAUCGGAGCGGAAAACUGUGUUAGGAGGGAAGAAAAAAUGUGUAAGGAACUGAGCACAUAUUGACGGUACCUAAACAGAAAGCAACGGCUAACUACGUG